rnacentral:rRNA from 1 species
CCUACGGGGGCAGCAGUCUAGAGGCUUCGUCAAUGCCCGAAAGGGUGAACGAGCGACGCCGCGUGCGGGAUGAAGGGCUUCGGCUUGUAAACCGCUUUUCUUUGGGAAGAAGGUCCGGGUCGUGCACUUGGGCUUGACGGUACCAGAGGAAUAAGCCCCGGCUAACUCCGUGCCAGCAGCCGCGGUAAGACGGAGGGGGCAAGCGUUGUUCGGAAUUAUUGGGCGUAAAGGGCUCGUAGGCGGAUCGGCGGGUCUGGCGUGAAAUCUCCACUGCUUAACCGGGAGGGGCCGCUGGAAACUACCGAUCUGGAGUAUGGUAGAGGACCAUGGAAUUCCGCAUGUAGCGGUGGAAUGCGUAGAUAUGCGGAAGAACACCGGUGGCGAAGGCGGUGGUCUGGGCCAUAACUGACGCUGAGGAGCGAAAGCCAGGGGAGCAAACG